rnacentral:rRNA from 1 species
CCUACGGGAGGCAGCAGUGAGGAAUAUUGGUCAAUGGGCGAGAGCCUGAACCAGCCAAGUCGCGUGAGGGAGUACUGCCCUAUGGGUUGUAAACCUCUUUUGUCGGGGAGCAAAAGCCGGACGUGUCCGGCUGUGAGAGUACCCGAAGAAAAAGCAUCGGCUAAAUCCGUGCCAGCAGCCGCGGUAAUACGGAGGAUGCGAGCGUUAUCCGGAUUUAUUGGGUUUAAAGGGUGCGCAGGCGGAUUUUUAAGUCAGCGGUAAAAUCGUGGGGCUCAACCCCAUCCAGCCGUUGAAACUGGGGAUCUAGAGUGUGCGAGAGGUAUGCGGAAUGCGUGGUGUAGCGGUGAAAUGCAUAGAUAUCACGCAGAACCCCGAUUGCGAAGGCAGCAUACCGGUGCACAACUGACGCUCAGGCACGAAAGCGUGGGUAUCGAACAGGAUUAGAUACCCGAGUAGUC